rnacentral:tRNA from 1 species
CGGCGGAUUACCGCCAGUUGCGCCAAGGUCCGCUGCCUUGACAUCGCAGGGGUCGGAAGUUCAAUCCUUCCUACGCCCACCA